rnacentral:rRNA from 1 species
CCUACGGGAGGCAGCAGUAGGGAAUCUUCCACAAUGGGCGAAAGCCUGAUGGAGCAACGCCGCGUGGGUGAAGAAGGUCUUCGGAUCGUAAAACCCUGUUGUUAGAGAAGAAAGUGCGGGAGAGUAACUGUUCACGUUUCGACGGUAUCUAACCAGAAAGCCACGGCUAACUACGUGCCAGCAGCCGCGGUAAUACGUAGGUGGCAAGCGUUAUCCGGAUUUAUGGGGCGUAAAGGGAACGCAGGCGGUCUUUUAAGUCUGAUGUGAAAGCCUUCGGCUUAACCGGAGUAGUGCAUUGGAAACUGGUAGACUUGAGUGCAGAAGAGGAGAGUGGAACUCCAUGUGUAGCGGUGAAAUGCGUAGAUAUAUGGAAGAACACCAGUGGCGAAAGCGGCUCUCUGGUCUGUAACUGACGCUGAGGUUCGAAAGCGUGGGUAGCAAACAGGAUUAGAUACCCGGGUAGUC